UGCCAGCAGCCGCGGUAAUACGGAGGUCCCAAGCGUUGUUCGGAUUCACUGGGCGUAAAGGGUGCGUAGGUGGCCAGGUCAGUCUGGUGUGAAAGCUUCGGGCUUAACCCGAAAAUUGCACUGGAUACUACUUGGCUGGAGGAUCGGAGGGGAGACUGGAAUUCCUGGUGUAGCAGUGAAAUGCGUAGAUAUCAGGAGGAACACCAGUGGCGAAGGCGAGUCUCUGGACGAUUCCUGACACUGAGGCACGAAGGCCAGGGGAGCGAACAGGAUUAGAUA
rnacentral:rRNA from 1 species